rnacentral:rRNA from 1 species
AGUGAACGCUGGCGGUAGGCCUAACACAUGCAAGUCGAACGGCAGCACAGUAAGAGCUUGCUCUUACGGGUGGCGAGUGGCGGACGGGUGAGGAAUACAUCGGAAUCUAAUUUUUCGUGGGGGAUAACGUAGGGAAACUUACGCUAAUACCGCAUACGACCUACGGGUAAAAGCAGGGGAUCUUCGGACCUUGCGCGAUUGAAUGAGCCGAUGUCGGAUUAGCUAGUUGGCGGGGUAAAGGCCCACCAAGGCGACGAUCCGUAGCUGGUCUGAGAGGAUGAUCAGCCACACUGGAACUGAGACACGGUCCAGACUCCUACGGGAGGCAGCAGUGGGGAAUAUUGGACAAAGGGCGCAAGCCUGAUCCAGCCAUACCGCGUGGGUGAAGAAGGCCUUCGGGUUGUAAAGCCCUUUUGUUGGGAAAGAAAAGCAGCAGGUUAAUACCCCGCUGUUCUGACGGUACCCAAAGAAUAAGCACCGGCUAACUUCGUG